UAUUAUUAUUAUUAUUAUUAUAUAUGGAAGAGGUGGAAAAUAGAUGGACUGAAAAUGUCUGCAAGAGGGAGAGUGAGUGAGUAAGAGAGAGUGCAAGAAGGGGUCCAAGUUGCAAGCAAAAUAGUUUGGUCCACCAACAUUAGACUGAUGGGUGAUUGAAUGCUAAAGCCAACACAGCAAUGGCAGUGACAAUGUAACCUGUUCCCAUUUCGCACCAUGAGAGUUUGCAGAUAUCAAAGUUUUUCUCAUAUAAAGCAUAAAAUAAUUAGUCUUUUGUAAUUUUUUUAAGAGCUUAAUUUCUAGUGAAGACAAAGGUUUGUGUGGGAUGGAGAACCCAAAACUCCAGUAAACUAAUUAAGCUGAGAUCAUCAACAUACUAGCAUAUAACAACAAAAUCUGAUAAAAACUUGAUAUAUAUAUGUAUUUAUUUUAUUCUUGCCUUUAUUCUCAGCUGAUUCUGCUCAAAUAGUUAAAAACUGGCCACCUAAGAGUUUCUUCAAUCUUAUGAGCCAAAACCCUUCAUAGCAUAGCUUGGAAUUUCCCUGAAAAUCUAGAAAUAUUUAAUUUAUCAAGAAGAAAAGUCAAGAUCAAAGAUCUAUCAUCUAUGGAAACAUAGUCCAUAAAUGGAUCUAAAACCAAAUACCCAUUAUAGGAAAAAGUCGAUUGAUUAAGGAAAUCUAAUAACCUUUCCAAUUAAAGAAUAUGCAUCAUCAUCAAGAUUUUCUUCCUCUUCUUCUUCUUGUUUCUUGAGCGACUUAUUUGACGAAGUCCCAUCACAUCUGCAACAAGAAACUAAUAAAAGAUACGAUUUGCGUCCCAGAAUAGU
rnacentral:misc_RNA from 1 species